UGGCGGCAGGCUUAACACAUGCAAGUCGAGCGGUAGCAGAUCUAGCUUGCUAGAUGCUGACGAGCGGCGGACGGGUGAGUAACGCGUAGGAACCUGCCCAGUAGUGGGGGAUAGCCCGGGGAAACUCGGAUUAAUACCGCAUACGCUCUACGGAGGAAAGAGGGGGCUUCGGCUCUCGCUAUUGGAUGGGCCUGCGUGAGAUUAGCUAGUUGGUGAGGUAAUGGCUCACCAAGGCGACGAUCUCUAGCUGGUCUGAGAGGAUGAUCAGCCACACUGGGACUGAGACACGGCCCAGACUCCUACGGGAGGCGGCAGUGGGGAAUAUUGCACAAUGGGCGCAAGCCUGAUGCAGCCAUGCCGCGUGUGUGAAGAAGGCUUUCGGGUUGUAAAGCACUUUCAGUGGGGAGGAAGGCCUCGUAGUUAAUAGCUGCGAGGAUUGACGUUACCCACAGAAGAAGCACCGGCUAACUCCGUG
rnacentral:rRNA from 1 species